rnacentral:lncRNA from 1 species
CCGCCCCCCACCUCCAUGGCUCAGCCGGGCCUUGGCACUCCUCUCUCCAUGUGCCUGCCUGUCUCUGCGGACUCCUGGCUAGGGCUCAGCUGCCCAGUAGCCUGUGGAAGGGGGAACUGGUGCAGUUAUCAGUCAAUCCUCCCACAGGGCUGGGAUUACACACGUGAGCCACCGCACCCGGCAGUCAUUGCUGAGUCUAAGGACAUCUCUGCAUGGGUGCUGUUGUGCCUUCCUGUCGAUGACAUAUCCAUGUCACCCACACACACCUGUAUGCUGACAAACACGGACAUCUAUGUACAUUGGAGAAACCUGGGGAAAGCCCCAGGCUAGCCAUAGCCCUCCCAUCCAGCCAGCCAGUCCCAUGCUCUGUGCAACCUCAGAACCUUACUGAGCCACACAUCACCUGGUGACCACAGGAUAUCACAGUCUCUUUUGCUGUUAUCACUGCAGCCCACCCACGUUUUCAAAGAUUUACGCAUGACCCCACUCUGCGGCCACCUAUGACUCCACUCUUCUCCAC